AAUCAUAGAGAAAGGGAAUUGAACAAGAGCGGACACUCGGCGAAAAUUGGAAACAGGAAACACGUCACGCUAUACUUUUAACAUCGACGAAUUGGGGUCGCGAGCAUCGAGAAAAAGAAGAAUGUGAAAUGAGAUUAACAGCAAUUGUUUAAUUUAUUUUAUUCUUUCCCGGAAAAAUUAAAGAUAUCUGCGUAUAAAUUAAGUUAAACUUUGCGGCUUACUUCCGUUGCCUAGCGACAGGCGAACGGGCGAAUGACGAGGCAGAUGUUUGCGUCAUUCGUCAGACACGCCGCCGAAGCGAGAGCGACCGGCCGUGUAUCUGAGCGUUGGACUGUUUGCUCACCCGUGUGACUGUUUUUCUGUUUUGGGAUUUAGCCUGGUUUCAUUGGCACCCGGCGAAUUCUAGCGUUCGUUCGGAACUGCGACAUGACGAAACUGCACAUUGGACAACGGCAAGAUGUCCUCCUGUAGUGGCUCGUACGGCAGUUACUGUUGUGUACAGUGGUGCGAAAACAAUGGAAGAACGAGAAAGAAGCCCGGCACCAGUUUUUUUCGUAUCCCACAGGACAGCAGGUCGACGGCAUGGGUGGCAUAUUCCCGCAGAGCCGACCUUAUGGAAAAGCCGGCAGGUGUGUUGUACAAGUCAUACAGGAUAUGCAGCGACCAUUUCACUGCAAAAGAUUUCCUGGACCCAGGUCGCACGCGACUCAUUAGAACAGCUGUACCAACAGUUUCCUCAGCUUUUGCAGAUGCUGCCGAUGUGCCAUCUGUUGGAUUCGCUGUUGCAUCACAUCAAAACACCGUUCCAGAGGACCAUCUGGAAAAGUCUACUAUAGGGUCAAUAAGAGGAUGAACUCACCUUACGGCGACUUCCUGCGCAGCGGCGGUCGUUGAAAUUUCCGGUUACCUUCCGGGUGAAGCCUGGCAGAGAUGAUCGAUCGGGGAGAUAGCCGCGGAAAAUGCGGCCGCUCACCCCAGGACCUGCGAGCCAGACUCACGGUAUCGGUGUUGUCUUCGCUGGCCUUCCGAGCGUUCACCUGCUGACGACGCGUGUCACGUGGUCCACCGCUGCGCCUCUGCGGGUGCGGCGUGCGGCCCGGAUCGCGCCUCCCUU